UCCGGUUGACGGUGACAAAACGUCCACUCUCCCUCGCAGAGCCAAAAACAGAGGGGGUGGGUCCCCACGUGAGUGUGUGUUUGUGUGUGACGCGCCCCGUUUAUGAUCUGCUUCUUUUUGGGUGGCUGGCUAACCAGAAAGGAAAGAAUUCGGGGGGAAAAACCACUCCCCACUGAGAGUGUGUUCCGUGUCGUUUUAUUGUCGAAGAUUUGGCCCCAAACUUCCAAUCGACCGCUGCCUGGAGUAUGAUUGAAGAACGUGAAAGUUGGGACGGACCGGUGGAUCCAAGUUCAGAAGUUCAGAACCGAGUAGUGAAGAAGUUCUGGGGCUUGAUUUGAUUACCACGUGUCCUUUUGGCGAGAAUCGUACUACGACGACCCCCCCAAGUUGUAGUAAAUAGCUGCUCUAGUGUCUCGAUAUUGUCUGAAGAAAGAACGUAGCUGGAAGAAUGCCGAGAAAGAAGCUUUAGUUUUGCUCCAUUGUGCGUUGGUGUUUGGCUCGAGGAAAGCGAGUGGGCGGUCCCUGGUAAGGGGGGAUGAUUCUCGUCUGGUGACCAAGAUUUCCGCUCUGGAGCUUUUGUUUUGGCUACGUUCUUAGACAGUGUUUUCCACGGAAAGUCUGCUGUAAAUAUCAGGAGAAAAUUACCAUAUCAGCAUAAUUAGUGCGAAUUAGCGCGAGUCGAAGGCGGAAUAUUUUAGUGAGGCUUUUCGCGGGUGUUUUUUUUGACUCUCAAAAGAGAGAAACACACAUUCAAUUAGUUUACAAGUUGAGAAACUCCGUUACACUUUAAAAGGAUUAAAUUGUGCGUUUGAUAGUUUUUAAAGGAAAUAUAAAAAAAAUAAAAAGAUUCAAAUCAAAACAUCCACACCGAAACUUUUUUCCGAAGAAAGCUGGAAAAGCCGGGAAAAACGCAACCAUUGGAAUUCUCAAACCGAGGUAAGAUUCUUCAAAAAAUAAACACUCCAGACACGCUUGUUCGGGAAAAAAUAACAGAAAACUCAUCGACCCGUAAAUUGAGCGAACCUCGUCGACCGUUUCUUGGCCAUUGAAGCGUUACGCUCGAAACCGGACCCUGAAGGAGGAACACUUCGAUAAAGAAAAAGGGUUAAAAAGGCGUGAACGACAUCUCAAAACCCAACUGCAGAAAGGAUAAACGAACUGAGGCCGUCUAAAUUAAAUCCACACAUUUCGGGACUACUCUGGAAGCCGGAAGAUAUCGGCAAAUAUCGCACCCCAUUCCGGAUGAGAGAUCGAUUUCGGGAUUUAACGAUUCCAAUCAUAAGACCCUCGAAUGGGGUUGAAGAAGCCCGAAAAAACAGAAGUGAAAUGUGUGUGUGUGUGUUUGGAAGCCCGUAAAAUCCCUACAAUAACAUCCCCAUUCAGAAGGGAAGAUAUUCGCAAUCAAAUUUCACGAGGACCCAUACUCUUUCACGAAUAAUGUGUCCGGGUCCCAAAUGUGUAACACAAGUGGAUCAAGUUUUAGAAAAUUUUCGGAUCAAAAACCCAUUCAUAUCCCUUGCGGGGCAUAAAUAAACAACAACGAAUGGUUGUGGAAACAGGAGGACAUUGAUCCGGACAACCAGCAACAAUAUCUGUGUGGUCACAAGCUGUAAAUUUUGCUUCAUGUUUUUGUGAGAAUCACCCUCAGAAAAAGUGGUGGAAAAAAGUGUGGUGGGAGUUGGGUUGAAAAGUGUAGAAAAAAAAAAGAGUGAAAACAACUCUCUUUCACUGUUUCGAGUUGUUGUUUUGGGUACGUACGUGGUCUUUUUUUUCUCACUUUCCUUUCGGUGAAAAAAAUGCAUGUGAAAAUAUAAGCUCUAUUGAUUCGAUUUGCGGUGAGGAAAAGGCAACCGGGAAAAGAUACCGUUGAAGGAAAAAACAACCUUUCAAUUUUUUUUGGAUCUGUGGUUGUUGUUGCAGCGAAGAAGUUUCCGAAUUGUGCUCUGCAGUGUGUCAACCAGUUUGAAGUCAGUUGGGAAGUCUGUCAGUCAAUCCAAGGAUUUCGGCCAUCUCAGAGACCAAUGUAAAAAGUCAAGACGGUUUUGUAGUGGCAUCAGACAAAAACCGACCCGAAGGAAGCUUCCACACCCACACGGAUAAAUUAGCUCGUGGCAACAGGAAGUUCCUGGUCCCGGAAGACAGGCAACAGUGAAAAAAAAAACGUUAAACAACAACAAAACAAAAUGGAAACCCUGUACACUGGCCACAUUCAUGGUUUUCCUCCGCCGGCCAACAUUACCUAUGGCACCUUCGGGACGUCCUGGGGCUCCCAGGGGGGUCUGAUAGCACUUGGCGUCGUCCUCGGGAGUUCCGUCAGUUUGGUCGGGCUGGCGUUUGCCUUCAUCAC